AUUUGGAAACCUGUUGCAAGAGAAGGACAUUUAGGCUGAUCUAAUCUGUUGCUUGCAGCAUUUGCAGUUAAGAUUUGAAACUGAAGACAAAGCAUGGAGACUUCUAAGUAAUGUGUCAUUUUUGUUGAAACCAAGGGAUUAUUUUUUCGGUAUUACUCCUGAAAAAGUGAUUGCCAAAAACUGCUGUUUCUGAUUUGUGUAUUUUCCUUUUCUUUUUUUUUUGUUCUUGUGGUUAUUGCUGCCCCUGUUUUUGGGAGGUGAUUGUGUAAACAUUUUAGUGUACUUUAGUUAUUGUAAGAAUAUUUUUAACAUUGUUAAUUUUAA